AUUUGAUAGACUGUACUUCAGUAAAUCUAAUGAUUAAUAUUUUAUUGUAAUAAUAAUUAAUUGUAUGUAAUAUAUUUUCUCUUGUAGGAGACGGGGAAACUACAUUGAAGACUAAUACAUCCAAUUCUAGCAAAUUUCUGUGAAGCAGACUCCCGUGUUCGCUUUAUGCAUGUGAGUCUUUGUACAACGUUGUAAAAAUAGCUAGGAGCUCUAUUCUCCACACUUUGCAGAAAUAUUCGUGCUCUAAGCAAGCUAGCAGUGAUCCUGAAAUGUGAAGAAUGGCUCCGAACUGUUAGAUCGAUUAUUAAAGGUGUGAAACUUUACUUGGUGAGUUUCUACGCAACAUAAAAUUGAAUCCUGAUAAAGCCAAUUUCCAGACAUGAUCAAUGUUUAAUGUCCAUGCUCAGUCACCAGACAGCCUGUUGCAAUAUACAGCUGUCACAUGGAUCAAGGAGUUUGUUCAGUUAUCUGGCGAUUCAAUGCUUCCAUACGUAUCGGCAUACUCACCGCAAUUCUGCCUGCGUAGCCUAUGAAGAAGAUUCACAGAACGUAUCCUCUUAAUCUCACUAAAAUAAAAUGUUAUUUUCUUGAGCAGGCACAUGAAGAGAUCAUCUCUCAAUGCUAGAAUUCGAUGUUUUAUUGAAUUAGUGAAUUUUGAAGAGUUUAGACCUCAUCUUCGAGUUGCUCAAUUGCUCUUGUACAAGAUUCAAAAGAUCGCAAAGCAAAAAUAAGGCUAAACGCAAGUCAUUAUCACUCCUAGAUUUUUAGACAUUACAGGAGCUACCUUACUCUUUUGUGCCAAAACAAUUCCCUCUGAGCAUUCAGUUUGCCAAAUGUUCUUAGAUAAAAUAUGAAGUUUCAGGGAAACUUGUGUAUAUUUUUUGUCCAAUGUUUUGAUGUAGGUGUUUUGCCUUUUUCUCUAUACAUGCUCUAAUUCAAUUGAAAGAAAUAUUCCGAAAAAAUUGGCUCUUCUUCACUUACAUGUUCAAUCAGUGAAUGAAUGAUAUGCACAUGUCAAUGGUCAAGUUCAAAACCACUUAUUUCCAUUGCAGUGUUUCAAAUUCUGCUAUUAUUUUAUAUUUUGAAGAAAACAAGUGAUUAUGUAGCAUCACGUCCAUGAUAUUGGACUCCAUGCUCACCCUUGAUAUAUUGUCUGCUCAUCUCGUCCAAGAUCCUGGACUCCAUGCUCAUCGCUAAACUUCUCACUUCUUUGCUUGAGCAUGG
rnacentral:lncRNA from 1 species